GAUGAAGAACGUAUCGAAAUGCGAUAAGUAGUGUGAAUUGCAGAAUUCAGUGAAUCAUCGAAUCUUUGAACGCACAUUGCGCCUUCUAGUAUUCUGGGAGGCAUGCCUGUUUGAGCGUCAUUAAACCUCUCUCAAGUAUGAUUACUUGGAUGUGAAGGAAGAGUACCUUAAACUUAAGGAGUGUUCUCCUUUGAAAUUGAUUAGCAGAUGGUAAUGUUAUUAAAUCCCUGAUGUUGUAAGAAAUAACAGUGGUUUUGUAGACUAUUAUCUAGCUUUAAAUUAUAAUUUUUAUUAUGGUUGACCUCAAAUCAGGUAAGGAUACCCGCUGAACUUAAGCAUAUCAAUAAGCGGAGGA
rnacentral:misc_RNA from 1 species